rnacentral:lncRNA from 1 species
UUAAUGUAUCUGUCUCUCUCUCUUGGACAUCCCAAAAAUGGAUUUAUAAACUUGACGUCCAGAAGAAUAUAACGGAAACCUCAAAUCUCUCUCUAAAACUCUAAAUGUCUGGAAUUCGUUAAAUGAAUGCAUAAAAUAUCGCGAAAGAAAUAGAAAUGCCUUCAAAUGCCUGGAAGAAAUUUAAAAUUACUUCGCGACGGGAACAGCUUCAAAUGAAAAAAAAAUAAAAAAUUACAUUUAUUCAAAAAAAUAUUUAAGUAUCUAGAAUAUUAUAAAAAUGUAUUCCAUAAGCCUGAAAAAAUGGCUUUAAAUAUUAAAAAUCCAAACCCCUGGAAUGUAAAAAAAGUUGUUCCGAGAACCUGGAACUGUCAACAAAACAAAAUAUUCCAAAAGCUUGGACUUGCCUGGCCUAAAAGAAGGCCCUUGAAUAUCAAAACAUAUAUAUGUAAUUUUAUUAGAUAGGUCAUUGUUCAUUAGAAAUUACAAAAUAUGACCUUUUAUUACGGUUCCGAUUUUUUUUAUUUACAAAAAACUUGGCAGUUCAGAAAUUAUGCAGGCAAAUUUUGACUAAUCAAAAAAAAUUUUUUUUUGGGAAUUUCAUAUAACAUGCUGCGAAGAAAAUAUGCACACAUGAUUAAGAAAGUUUUUAGUACCAUAAUCAUUCUUGUCACUUUUGUAGUUUAUGUGCUAUGAUUUUUUAUAGCGCGCGGAAUUUAAACUCGGCGCCUUGCAGAAACUGAUAAAACAAUCAAGCGAUGUUUAUCUUCCUUAAUAUAGUUAUACUCACUACGUUUUUGAGCAUUUUAUACGUAUAAAAGGUUGCGAAAAAAACAUUAAAAGAAAAGUAUGAAAAGAUCAUAAUAUGCGAUUAUUAUAUUAGGCUUCUUCGUUUUCUGAUUCUGAAAUAUCGUCAUUAAAACUUAAACUAUUAUUGCAUAAUCUGCAUUUACAUUCUAUCAUACAUUUUAAUCCCUGUUUUACGCAAAUACAUCUAGUACUAUUGCAAUUUUUGUCUCAACAUUUUAUGGAUAAAAGUUUUCUUAGUUCUACUGGCACUGCGUCAACUGGGCAACAUUACCAACAAAACAGUUGAUAAACAUAUGCACAGGAAAAGUUGCAAGUGACGAAGUAGAAAAAAGUCUAAGUAGUUUCUUGGAAACAGCUACAGUAAAAACAUUAUUGGAAAAACCUCCUGAAGUUUGGAAACCAAUGAAAAGAGAUAAAGUCUUAACGUUCAAAAAUACAAAAGCAAAACCCAAAACUGCCUCACAAAAAUCACUUAUCGGCACCGAAUUUAUGUUUCGGAGGAUCAUAUGUGCCGCUCGUUUCCAAGAAAUGGAUUUGCCAAACAUUUUAUCUUAUGAACUUGCGCCUGUUCCGGCGUCUAUGUUCCAUGAAGAUGGUGCAAUGCGCAAAUCAACAAAAUCUGAUCUUUCGAAAAAGUUAGAAUCAUUUACUAAUACGUUAUUCGUCCACCAAUAGAUUCAUAUGUUAUUGAUAGUAUGGUACUUAUUCAAGAGUUAAAGUCAUCUACAUUUUCAACUUUUAACGAUUUGGGGCACCUGCUAUUAGCAAAAAUUGGGAGCAAUGGAAGAAAACACGGUGCAAAAAAAUUUACAGUGAUUUUGGAUACAUGCACUACUCAUUCCCUAAAAAAUGCUGAAAGGUCUAACCAUGGUGACUCAAAUGUAGUUGUGUUUAAAGUGAGUCGCACGUGAAAAAUUCCUAAUUUUAACGAGUUUCUUAAAUCAUCUGCAAACAAAAGAGCGUUAUUAGUUUAUUUAAGCGACUACUUUCUUCAAAAGUGUUCCGAUUCAUUAAAUAGUCAUGAAAAAUUAGUAAUAGCUGGAGGAUUCGAAAAUACAAAGCAAGGGUUUCAAAUUACGUGCGAUAGAGAACCCGAAAACUUGAUAUCACUGAACAGCAGUCAAGAGGAAGCAGACACUAGAAUCAUUCUUCACAUUUUGUCAGAAACUUCACAUAGCAAAUUCAUUUUAGUAAAAUCGGUAGAUACUGAUGUGUUGCUAUUACACUUUUAUAGUAUAACACCAGAAAAAUGUAAAUUGUUUAUGGAGCUGAGACACAGCAAGAAUAGGCGCUUCGUUGCCAUCCACGAUAUAGUUAAGAAACUUGGCCCUCUAGUAACCAAAAACCUAUUAGCUAUCCAUUGCUUAACUGGUGGCGAUAAUACCAGUACAUUAUAUAAAAUAGGCAAAAAAAACGCUUUUGAUAUGUUACACAAAAACAUCGAGAGCCUUUCACAAUUAGAAAUGCUUCCAAUAUUAUCCGAAGAUGAAGCCAUGGAUGUUGCCAGUAAAUUUAUUUUUUUGCUGUAUAAAUACAAAGAUGAAAAUGUUAAAAACUUAAACAAAUUAAGAUUCCACCUAACAACAACCUUAAACAAACCUGCUUCUGAACUUCCGCCGACCGUAGAUGCUUUUGGACUACACCUAAAAAGGUGUAUUUACCAAUUAAAAACUUGAUAUAACAGUUAUUUACCAGAACCUGUAUAUCAAAAUCCCGCCAAGUUUGGAUAGGUGUUAAAAGAACAUGUGUGGGUACCACAGUUUACUAUUAAAGACCCAGUGCCAGUAGAACUAAGAAAACUUUUAUCCAUAAAAUGUUCAGACAAAAAUUGCAAUAGUACUAGAUGUGUUUGCGUAAAACAGGGAUUAAAAUGUAUGAUAGAAUGUAAAUGCAGAUUAUGCAAUAAUAGUUUAAGUUUUAAUGACGAUAUUUCAGAAUCAGAAAACGAAGAAGCCUAAUAUAAUAACCGCAUAUUAUGUUUUUUUUUCGCAACCUUUUAUACGUAUAAAAUGCUCAAAAACGUAGUGAGUAUAACUAUAUUAAGCAAGAUAAACAUCGCUUGAUUGCUUUAUCAGUUUCUGCAAGGCGCCGAGUUUAAAUUCCGCGCGCUAUAAAAAAUCAUAGCGCAUAAACUACAAAAGUGGCAAGAAUGAUUAUGGUACCAAAAACUUUCUUAAUCAUUUGUGCACAUUUUCUUCGCAGCAGUUAUAUGAAAUUCCCAAGAACAACAUUUUUUUUCGAUUAGUCAAAAUUUGCCUGCAUAAUUUCUGAACUGCCAAGGUCAUCCAUGUUUUGGGCAUAUUUAAAAUAAAAAAUUCGGAUCAUUUUAUUCUUUGAAAGAAGCCCCUAAGUGUGUGUGUUAAAAUAAAAAAAAAAUCAUGUCAAUCGCUCAAUUAGUUAAGUAGAUACUAGAGGGGAUGUAUAAAAAAACAUGAUUUUUAAAAAAGGGAAGUUUUCACAGUUUUUUGAAAAUAAAAAAAGUCGUAACCGCAAAAAAGGUCAUAUUUUUUGGUUUCAUAUGUAGAAUCAUAUUCUUGAGAAUACCCAAUAGGUCUGAUCUUGUUCUAAGCUCAUAAAAAAAUACGACACAAUUUUGCUUAUUAUUUACUCCCCUAAAAUAAAAACGGCCUUAAAUGCCUCGAAUAUUAUAAAAAAUUAUUUUGUAAGCCCUGAAAGAGUGACUUUAAACAUCAGAAAAAAAUUUAAGGGCUUCAAAUUCCUGGAAUAUUAAAAAAGAUGAUGAAAGAGAAAAGUCCCUAAAAAAUCGCUUGAAAUAACUGGAAUAAUAUAAUAAAAAAAAUAUUCCAUAAGCUUGAAAUUGCCUUAAAAGAAUGGAAUUGAAUACCAAAACAAACAUUGAAAUGGCUUUAAAUGCCUGGAAUAAAAUAAACAGUGAUUCCAAAAGUUUGGAAUUGUCUCAAAAGAAUAGCUUUUAAUACAUGAAAUGAAAUAAAAAAUCGACUUCAAAAGAGUGAAGUGAAACUAUUUUUAAAUAAAGUUGCAGCUUCCAAUCUGGAAAAAUCUAUUUAGUUCGAAGUGUCUGGAAUAAAAUGUGAAAAUGACUGGAAAUGACAUCAAUAGCUUGGAAUACCGAUUGUCAUUCUUUUCACGGAAUACUGGUUCCCAAAUGACCACUUAUCCCCGAAUUGCAAUUGAUGAACGUUUUUUUUCCCCAACAAUAGUUUUCUAGAAACACUGUUAGCCCGAACAGAAUUUUUUCCGAAAAGAAUGUCAUUCGAACUUUUAAACUACUUGCAAGGUCAAUAGAAAUAGGCGUUUUUCUUUAAAUAAAAAUAAAUCGAAUUACUGAAUAACGCAACCAAGAUGACUGAAGAACCAGAAGACGUAUUCUCUGGGUAAACAUGAAAUAAUUUCAACUGCCUAGGUUCUGUUUGAAUAUCGAAAAAAUUGUGCGUGAAGAAGAUUCUAAAUUGUUUAGACAAACUAAAAAAUAAAAAGAAAUGGGAACCGCCUGGAGUUCAGAAGUCUUCAGUCUCAAAAAAUAUCUCUGAAUUGCCUAAACAGGAUUGUAUAUUAUUUAGACGGACCAAGAAAUAAUUAUAUUUGCCUGGACUUAAUUUUCAGACUCGAUUUUUUUCUCUGAGUACUUAUAUACUAACUUCAUAGAUAGACCAAUUAGCCUCAAUUUUAGUCUGAAAUACGUUUUUUUUAAGAUAAAUUCUGAUUUGUCUAGAUACACCAAGAAUAUGUAACUGUAUCAUAAAAAUAAUGCAAUGUC